rnacentral:lncRNA from 1 species
UUAGGUACUGUUAAAGUUAGAGCUUUUGUGGCAUUAAUCUUUUGAGUUAGAAAUGAUAACUUGUAAUGAAAAUAUAAUUUGGUGGGCGAAUUUUAUGUAGCCCGCCCCUCUCUAAAAUUAGGGUUUUGAUCAUUUUAACCCUUGUCUCUAAAAUUACACCCCCCAUGUCGAAGAACCACUCUGAUAAAAAUCUCUGACCAUAUCGAGACUCUUCAAAUUUGUACCAGUUCGCUCGCCGUGAUAUAGAUCUUGAUCGUACUGGUUGCCAUUAAGAAAAUGAAGAGAAAAUAUUAUUCGUGGGAAGAAUGCAUAAAUUUGAGAGAAGUCAAGAUUGAAACGUUGAACUUGGUUAUCAAGGAGCUCGCUAAGGAAAAUAAUGAAGAAAAAGAAAUGUAAAAUGAAAUUGUUGGCUGAAAAAGAUAAAGUGGAUGAAGAUGCUAGAGUUACGAUUCGAAGAUAGGCUAUAAACACUUGGUUUUGAAGGUUUCGAUGUUUAUUAUAUAACGAUAGUUUCGGUUACUUGAUAUUUUAGUUUGUAUUUUUGUUAGAAUGUUUUAUGACUUUGAAAUAGGAAAUACUGAAAUAGAGAUGUUUUGUAUAAUUUUAUGAUUUUGUAAUUUUAUGGAAUGUUUUAUAUAAAUUUGUAACUUUAUUGA